GACGAACGCUGGCGGCGUGCCUAAUACAUGCAAGUAGAACGCUGAGGUUUGGUGUUUACACUAGACUGAUGAGUUGCGAACGGGUGAGUAACGCGUAGGUAACCUGCCUCAUAGCGGGGGAUAACUAUUGGAAACGAUAGCUAAUACCGCAUAAGAGUAAUUAACACAUGUUGGUUAUUUAAAAGGAGCAAUUGCUUCACUGUGAGAUGGACCUGCGUUGUAUUAGCUAGUUGGUGAGGUAAAGGCUCACCAAGGCGACGAUACAUAGCCGACCUGAGAGGGUGAUCGGCCACACUGGGACUGAGACACGGCCCAGACUCCUACGGGAGGCAGCAGUAGGGAAUCUUCGGCAAUGGACGGAAGUCUGACCGAGCAACGCCGCGUGAGUGAAGAAGGUUUUCGGAUCGUAAAGCUCUGUUGUUAGAGAAGAACGUUGGUAGGAGUGGAAAAUCUACCAAGNGACGGNAAC
rnacentral:rRNA from 1 species